rnacentral:rRNA from 1 species
GCGCUCUGGUCGAGGAUAAACGACCCCUCUGACAGAGGCUAAUCCGUCGCCUUGUGUUACCCGUCCGUGGCACACGUUAAAGAUCGUUCCGCGUUGUGAGUCUUUCUGGUUGUAAAAAACACUUUACAACCGGUAGCGCUGGAUCCCUUGGCAUGUCAUUCGAUGAAGACCGUUGCAAAUUGCGAUAAAGUGAUGUGAUGCGCAAGUCCACCACUUAUACGUGAAUCAUCGAGUUGUUGAACGCAUUGCACCGCGCCCUAAACCGGCUGCGGUAUGCCCCUUUGAGCGUCAUUACAUCCUUCGGGAGUCUCCUUUGCUGGAGACCCGAGUUCGGAGUCCUCGGUCCUUUGGGAUCGUGUUCUCUCAGAUGCAUCGCGCCGAUCGCUUUGAUGGGUAACUCUAAUGCCUGAGCGUGGAGUCCCUCUGAAGUCGA